UACGGAGGGUGCGAGCGUUGUCCGGAAUCAUUGGGCGUAAAGGGCGCGUAGGUGGCGCGGCAAGCGUGCGGUGAAAGCUCGGGGCUCAACCCCGAGUCGGCCGUGCGAACUGCUGGGCUUGAGCACUGUAGAGGCAGGCGGAAUUCCGGGUGUAGCGGUGGAAUGCGUAGAGAUCGGAAAGAACACCAACGGCGAAAGCACUCUGCUGGGCCGACACUGACACUGAGAGACGAAAGCUAGGGGAGCGAAUGGG
rnacentral:rRNA from 1 species